GGCCGCGCCCGAGCCGCGCACGCGCCCCGCGCACGCGCCCUGACGGAGUCCCAGCUAGCGUGGGCCCAUCUUCCUCGCGUCUCCUCGGGGAGCGUCGCCGCCGCUACCCUGAGCGCUGAGAGCUUGCGGAGCCGAGCCGCUGUCGAGUCCCGGCGGAAAGAAGCCCAAGGUGCCGGAGAAGCCCGGUCGUGGACGUUCUCGCUCCCUCAUCUUCGAGACCCGCACGCCCUGCGGAGAGGAAAUGACAGGCACGCCGCGACCGUGGGGCGGGGCUCGCGCGAGCUCCGGGUUUUCAGAGUCCGGGGCCGGGGCCGGGGCCGGAGCCGUAGAAGACAGAGUCGCGCGGGGAAGGCCCGGUACCCCGCCCUUUCCGCACCGACCCCUCUCUCGCAGUUGGACGGGAACGGGAGCUGCUGGCGGGAGCACAGCUGCGAGAAGGUGGCGUUUGAGGGCAGUGCGGGCUCGAAAUUGGAGCCCACAUUGCCUCUUUGGUGGAGGGAAGGGAGUGGUCCAGGUUCAGAGUCCCUUGCAGCUCGGAGCCGAGCCUGGGAGCUGAAUGACCCAGUGUGCAAGGCGCACCUCGGAGACCGAAAGCAACCGCUCCCCCGGCAUCAAUUUCACACUACCAGCAGAUACACGUCUCAGAAUCUGCGGCUAGGAAGAUCUGGGCUGCCAGAAGCUAAACGUGUGCAUUUUAUCAUCAGCCCCCGGUUUCUCGUUUUAGAGUGAGUUCCCACCUGCCCUACCUAAACUGACCUGAAACGGAAAGUUGUAUGCCCCCACGGCCAUCCUCACUGCAGAACUGCAGAGGGUUUUAAGCUCCUUAUUACCUGUUUCUUAUAAUCCUGUCCCUUUCCAGGCGAGUAUUUAUUGGAUAUUUCUACUUGUUUUAUCAAACUUCCUUUUCUUUUGACUUUAUAAAAAGCAAUGCCGGGAGGCUGAGGCAGGAGAAUCGCUUGAACCCGGGAGGCGGAGGUUGCAGUGAGCUGAGAUCUCGCCAUUGCACUCCAUUCUGGGCAACAAGAGCGAAACUCCGUCUCAAAAAAAUAACAAUGCUCGUCCUUAAAAUUAUGUGCAGAAGUUUACUGAAAAGUACAAGUUACUAUUUUUCCUUCUGAAGCACUCCUCACAGGUAACCUUAGAGUGCUUAACACAUAUUUGUUGAAUGAAUAAGUGCCCCCCAGUGAAUUUCCUUUGCCUGUACAAACAUAUAUGUACACACCUUGCUUUUUCUAUUUAACAGUACACUUUUAUCAUUUAACAUCUGCGUGGUAUGGUACUCCAUCCGAUGGUUGUACUAUUAUUUAACCACUCCGCUAUUAAUAAACAUUCAUGUUGUUUAUGUUUUUGGUUAUAAUAAACAUUCUUGCAGGCGGGAUCAUUGAACAACACAUGGAGUGUCUGACUCAAGCCUUGAGUUUUUCCGGGAGCUGAGAAUCAGUGUGGUGAUAUCGAAAGAACAUGAGCUUGGAAUCUGAAGGUACUGGCUAGGCAGAAGAGCUGAUCAUGUGCUCCCGAUAGAAAGUCCCCCUUGGUCGGGAAGGUUAGGGCCAUCCUCUGACUCAGCAGUUUUAGGAAAUAGAGGGGGAGAAGGAAGGUAUGUACCUUCCUUCCACCAGGGAGGCACGCCCAGCCCUAACCAGCCAGCAAGGCAGUAAGUCCUCCCAGCUCAUCUUCACAACCUGGGCUGGUGUCGGGAAGACUUUGGUUCCAGUGCUAGCUUUGGAAUCCUGGCCUCCAUCCCUUAAAAGCUUUGUGAUCUUAGGUAAGUCACAUCACACUAUCUCAAAGCCCCCGUUUCCUCACAGAAUGAUUGUUUUAGAGUUAUGUUUGUAAAUUACCUGGCACAUGUAGGCAUGUGACAGACUGUAACCAAUGUUACUCAAGGUCAUUUUGCACUGAUUCAUACUUUGAGCCAUUUCCUACUGUAGACUCUAGCACACAUUUUCAAGGCAGCUUCCUGAUAAUAAGGCUGUAGGAUAUUUUUGGGAAAUAAAUCCAAAUUGGCCAUUAAAACCAGAU
rnacentral:antisense_RNA from 1 species